CUCGUAGUGGGGGGACAACCGUGGGAAACUACGGCUAAUACCGCAUGAUCCGUCGUAGGGACGGAACGAACGAAACGUAACGCCGUUGAGGAGGAGCCUGCGUCUGAUUAGGUAGUUGGUGGGGUAAAGGCCUACCAAGCCCUGCGAUCAGUAGCUGGUCUGAGAGGAUGAUCAGCCACAUGGGACUGAGACACGGCCCAAACUCCUACGGGAGGCAGCAGUGGGGAAUNUUGGACAAUGGGCGCAAGCCUGAUCCAGCAAUGCCGCGUGGGUGAAGAAGGUCUUCGGAUUGUAAAGCCCUUUUGGCGGGGACGAUGAUGACGGUACCCGCAGAAUAAGCUCCGGCUAACUUCGUG
rnacentral:rRNA from 1 species